rnacentral:lncRNA from 1 species
CGCCGAGUCCCGGAUGUGCUCCAGGAAGGGAUAGGGUAGGCGCGGAAGUGCUGCUUACUGGGUCCUGAAUCGGCUGCGUGCUGUUCUAGGCAUCUUUCACCCUGAAGUCACGGGAACAACGCUGAGGGGCAGCCAGAGAUUAUGUGGGCUUUUCCAUGGGAAGAACCACUCUACGUUAUCACCUUCUACAUAGUAGCAGUUGAAGCCAAAUGGACAGAAAGCCCGAGACAACAUGAAGUUGUUCUACAAGUUAUUUUGGAGAAAUUGACUUACC